rnacentral:rRNA from 1 species
GAUGAACGCUGGCGGCGUGCCUAAUACAUGCAAGUCGAGCGAACAGACGAGGAGCUUGCUCCUCUGACGUUAGCGGCGGACGGGCGAGUAACACGUGGAUAACCUACCUAUAAGACUGGGAUAACUUCGGGAAACCGGAGCUAAUACCGGAUAAUAUAUUGAACCACAUGGUUCAAUAGUGAAAGACGGUUUUGCUGUCACUUAUAGAUGGAUCCGCGCCGCAUUAGCUAGUUGGUAAGGUAACGGCUUACCAAGGCGACGAUGCGUAGCCGACCUGAGAGGGUGAUCGGCCACACUGGAACUGAGACACGGUCCAGACUCCUACGGGAGGCAGCAGUAGGGAAUCUUCCGCAAUGGGCGAAAGCCUGACGGAGCAACGCCGCGUGAGUGAUGAAGGUCUUCGGAUCGUAAAACUCUGUUAUUAGGGAAGAACAAAUGUGUAAGUAACUAUGCACGUCUUGACGGUACCUAAUCAGAAAGCCACGGCUAACUACGU